rnacentral:rRNA from 1 species
GAUGAACGCUGGCGGCGUGCCUAAUACAUGCAAGUCGAGCGAACGGACGAGAAGCUUGCUUCUCUGAUGUUAGCGGCGGACGGGUGAGUAACACGUGGAUAACCUACCUAUAAGACUGGGAUAACUUCGGGAAACCGGAGCUAAUACCGGAUAAUAUUUUGAACCGCAUGGUUCAAAAGUGAAAGACGGUCUUGCUGUCACUUAUAGAUGGAUCCGCGCUGCAUUAGCUAGUUGGUAAGGUAACGGCGUACCAAGGCAACGAUGCAUAGCCGACCUGAGAGGGUGAUCGGCCGCACUGGAACUGAGACACGGUCCAGACUCCUACGGGAGGCCGCAGUCGGGAAUCUUACGCAAUGGGCGAAAGCCUGACGGAGCAAGGCCGCGUGAGUGGUGAAGGUCUUCGGAUCGUAAAACUCUGUUAUUAGGGAAGAACAUAUGUGUAAGUAACUGUGCACAUCUUGACGGUAACUAAUCAGAAAGCAACGGCUAACUACGUG